UUGACCGCUGCAUUCUUUCUCGCAGUUCUCUCAUGCGGACGAACUCGGACGCCGUGCCUCGGAAACGAGCAAUUAAGUCGCCCCUUAGUUCCUGCCAAACACCACCGCCAUGAUCACGGAUGUACUGCCAGUACCAUUCCCGCGCGUUUCCUGUAACCAGUUCUUCUUCUUCUUACAAGAUUCAUUAAGAGGGGGACACGUGACUAGCCGGGACCAGUAACCGCUCCAGUUUCUGCGCUCCACUUGACAGUCGCCCUAGGGAUAUCCUACAAUUACGAACACCACCUAUGUGUGGCCUGUCAUCUACUCUAGUCAUCGCUCUAAGCGAUGGCCGAUAAACGAGAAGCCUCACGGUGCAUGAGCUCACUUUGCUUGUGAUUUGUUCCUGUCAUCCAUCAUACCGACCUGCCAUGACAACAGAUGCAUCGCGGGUUGUCUUUACGACUCCCGGGCCACCUACUCCUCACCACCUCUCGGCAGACAGACAACAGGUUUAAAAACACGAAAGCGGCUUUGUUUUAAACAAGAAGAUUAAUUCGAUAUCACAGUCCACCAG